GGACUCUGUGCGCGUGCAUAUCAAUAAGCGGAGGAAAAGAAACUAACAAGGAUUCCCUUAGUAACGGCGAGUGAAGCGGGAAGAGCUCAAAUUUGAAAUCUUCGAGGUUUUACCUUGACGAAUUGUAGUUUAUAGAAGUGUUUUCUGCUGAAGUUUUGGUAAAAGUUCUUUGGAAUAGGACAUCAUAGAGGGUGAGAAUCCCGUAUUUGGUCAUUCUUUCUAAGCUUUGUGAUACACUUUCAACGAGUCGGAUUGUUUGGGAAUGCAGUCCAAAAUGGGUGGUAAAUUUCAUCUAAAGCUAAAUAUUGGCGAGAGACCGAUAGCGAACAAGUACCGUGAGGGAAAGAUGAAAAGAACUUUGAAAAGAGAGUUAAACAGUACGUGAAAUUGUCAAAAGGGAAGCGUUUGACACCAGUGUUGUUUUUCCGAAAAUCAAUUAUGAAUGUUUUGUUUUUAAGAAGUUAUGACUUCAUCGGCUUGCUUCUUUCUUUACGAAACUUUCUUAAUGCACUUUUCGGUUAACAAGUCAACAUCAAUUUCUUUUGUUGUAAAAGGGUAAGAGGAAGGUGGCUUACGCUUCGGCGUAAGUGUUUAUAGCCUUUUACCUCUGCAAUCGGAGAGAUUGAGGACAGCAGCGUAGACUCUUCGGGGUUAGAUACACUUGUGCUAAGCUAUAGCCUUGUAUAGACAACUUGUUGACUAUGCUCAGUCAUGUAGCUUACUCGCUUGUGCUAUUUUACCUACGCUUAGGAUGUUGAAGAUGUAGCACAUCAU
rnacentral:rRNA from 1 species